UGCAGUCGAGCGGCAGCGGGAAAGUAGCUUGCUACUUUUGCCGGCGAGCGGCGGACGGGUGAGUAAUGCCUGGGAAAUUGCCCAGUCGAGGGGGAUAACAGUUGGAAACGACUGCUAAUACCGCAUACGCCCUACGGGGGAAAGCAGGGGACCUUCGGGCCUUGCGCGAUUGGAUAUGCCCAGGUGGGAUUAGCUAGUUGGUGAGGUAAUGGCUCACCAAGGCGACGAUCCCUAGCUGGUCUGAGAGGAUGAUCAGCCACACUGGAACUGAGACACGGUCCAGACUCCUACGGGAGGCAGCAGUGGGGAAUAUUGCACAAUGGGGGAAACCCUGAUGCAGCCAUGCCGCGUGUGUGAAGAAGGCCUUCGGGUUGUAAAGCACUUUCAGCGAGGAGGAAAGGUUGUUGGCUAAUAUCCAACAGCUGUGACGUUACUCGCAGAAGAAGCACCGGCUAACUCCGUGCCAGCAGCCGCGGUAAUACGGAGGUGCAAGCGUUAAUCGGAAUUACUGGGCGUAAAGCGCACGCAGGCGGUUGGAUAAGUUAGAUGUGAAAGCCCCGGGCUCAACCUGGGAUUGCAUUUAAAACUGUCCAGCUAGAGUCUUGUAGAGGGGGGUAGAAUU
rnacentral:rRNA from 1 species